AAGACUAUACUUUCAGGGAUCAUUUCUAUAGUUUUUAUACUCGGAAAUGUGCUCUAAAGUGUCUGAGCUCACCAACCAUGAGGAGGAGCUGUAGUGAUCUCUCCUGAGCGUGAAGAGAGCUCUCAGUCCUGCUUCAUUGCAGCUGCUGAUUGCUAUUGAUGAUCGUUCUCCUUCUCUGUCAUGGAGAAGGUGGAGGGAGAGAUCACAAGCUGAGUGGU